CUGAUGAUGAAAACUAAAUCCCA
rnacentral:piRNA from 1 species